UACGAAGGGGGCUAGCGUUGCUCGGAAUCACUGGGCGUAAAGGGUGCGUAGGCGGGUCUUUAAGUCAGGGGUGAAAUACUGGAGCUCAACUCCAGAACUGCCUUUGAUACUGAAGAUCUUGAGUUCGGGAGAGGUGAGUGGAACUGCGAGUGUAGAGGUGAAAUUCGUAGAUAUUCGCAAGAACACCAGUGGCGAAGGCGGCUCACUGGCCCGAUACUGACGCUGAGGCACGAAAGCGUGGGGAGCAAACAGG
rnacentral:rRNA from 1 species